UUACGGUCAUAUCACGUUGAAACGCCAGUUACGACAGGAUCACCGCAGUUAAGCAACGUCGAACCUGGUCAGUACCUAUAUGGGUGACCGCUUGGAAAAGCAGGUGUUGUAAG